rnacentral:rRNA from 1 species
CUUUAGACGGUAGGGUAUUGGCCUACCGUGGCUAUGACGGGUAACGGGGAAUUAGGGUUCGAUUCCGGAGAGGGAGCCUGAGAAACGGCUACCACAUCUAAGGAAGGCAGCAGGCGCGCAAAUUACCCAAUCCUAAUACAGGGAGGUAGUGACAAGAAAUAACAAUACAGAACCUUACGGUUUUGUAAUUGGAAUGAGUUAAGUAUAAACCCCUUAACAAGUAUCAAUUGGAGGGCAAGUCUGGUGCCAGCAGCCGCGGUAAUUCCAGCUCCAAUAGCGUAUAUUAAAGUUGUUGCAGUUAAAAAGCUCGUAGUUAAUCUUCUGUUAAUUUUUAUAUAUAAUAUUACGAUAUUUAUAUAAUAUUAACAUAAUUCACAUUACUUUUUAGUAUGUGAAACUUUACUUUGAGAAAAUUAGAGUGCUUAAAGCAGGCUAUUGGCUUGAAUACUCCAGCAUGGAAUAAUAUUAAGGAUUUUUAUUCUUCUUAUUGGUUCUAGAAUAAAAAUGAUG